rnacentral:rRNA from 1 species
GAUGAACGCUGGCGGCGUGCCUAAUACAUGCAAGUCGAGCGAACAGACGAGGAGCUUGCUCCUCUGACGUUAGCGGCGGACGGGUGAGUAACACGUGGAUAACCUACCUAUAAGACUGGGAUAACUUCGGGAAACCGGAGCUAAUACCGGAUAAUAUAUUGAACCGCAUGGUUCAAUAGUGAAAGACGGUUUUGCUGUCACUUAUAGAUGGAUCCGCGCCGCAUUAGCUAGUUGGUAAGGUAACGGCUUACCAAGGCAACGAUGCGUAGCCGACCUGAGAGGGUGAUCGGCCACACUGGAACUGAGACACGGUCCAGACUCCUACGGGAGGCAGCAGUAGGGAAUCUUCCGCAAAGGGCGAAAGCCUGACGGAGCAACGCCGCGUGAGUGAUGAAGGUCUUCGGAUCGUAAAACUCUGUUAUUAGGGAAGAACAAAUGUGUAAGUAACUAUGCACGUCUUGACGGUACCUAAACAGAAAGCCACGGCUAACUACGUG